AUAAAUCAAUAAGUAAAAAGUUUCAAUUAAAUUUUAAUUUGACGUUUUAUAACGCCAUCUAUUAGUAAUUAAAGCAACUAUUUGCGUCUUUAUCAAGUGUCAUUUUUUGUUAUAACUUAUUUUGCGUGAAAUAAAACUAAAACUAGAAAUUUUGAGGUUAUGCCGUGCGUCUAUGACGCACGGCAUAACCCUAAAAUUUCUACUUUUAGUUUUAUUUCUUAUUCCAUCGACAGUAACGGUUGUGAAAAGUGUCACUUAAAAAAGUGAGGUUAGGUUACGUUGAAAAAGUACUUCGAAGACGUCGCCGAGUUUACUUUUUAUGGCUGUUUCAAGCGAAAUCGCUUCUUAUGAGUCGCUAAUAUGAAAAAAAAAUCGUUGAGGACGCACUGAAAAUAAAACUAAAACUAGAAAGUUUAGGGUUAUGCCGUGCGUCUAAGACGCACGGCAUUCUAGUUUCAGUUUUAUUUCUUAUUCCAUCAGCAGUACCGGUUGUAAAGUUUUACUUGAAAAGUGAGGUUAGGUUGGGUUGAAAAAGUACUUCGAAGACGUCGGCCGAGUUUAAUGUAAAAGAAAAUCUUUGAGGACGCACUAAGUUAUGCCGUGCGUCGUAUUAGGCAGCGAAUAACAAUGCCGAUUACAGGAAACUGUAAAAUAUGUUCCUCUAUAAACAAAGAUUAUACUAAUCACCUUCUGAAAAAAGGCGUAAAUUAAAGUUAAUUUUAAUUAAAAUUGUUAUUAAAAACACUUAUUGAAGAGAUUUUAAUGGAAAUUCACCUAUAGAUAUCAGGAAUGCUGGAAAAUCUAUUAAAACCGAGGUUCAUCAAGAUUUUUGUUAACUGCUAUAUCUAUUAAUGGGAAGAAAAGGAUUUAUGAAGAAAAGGCGUGUAUUGAAGAGAUUUUAAUGGAAAUUAACCUGAAGAUUCCGUGGAUGAUUUUUAACUCCGAUAACCAUUAAUCAGGAGAAAAGCGUUCUUGUUUCGGAAUAAUACGGAAAAUGCGAAAUAAAAGGAUUUAUCAAGAAAAGGCGUUUAUUGAUGAGAUGUGAAUGGAAAUUAACCUAUGGAUGCUGAAAAGUCAAUUAAAACCAAAGUUCAUCAAGAUUUUUUUUUAACUCCAAUAACAAUUAAUCAGAAGAAAUAUACUAUUGUUUAUAUCUAAUUAGAAAUAAAAGGAUAUAUCAAGGGAUUUUAUUAAGAUUGGAAAUUAAAAUAUUUCAAAGAAAUUCUUUACAUACAUUAUUUCUUGAGCUUCACUUGAACCUUCGAAAUGGUAGUAAUUAUGAUGGUAGUAUUAAUGUUGAUGCUCGUUUUUAAGAACAAUAAAUUUUAUUUAAAAUA